GCCAGACGCAGCGCAACAGUGAAAGAUUUACAAAUGUGACAAAAGGUCUUCUGUGUGUCAAUUAAUUCCUACAUAGAGCUUUAAUCCCGUUUACAUGGAAAGCUGUAGUUAUUGUGCCCCUGACAAUUCCAAAUUUCUAUUUGCAGCAAACUGACAAACAGAAUAAGUCCAGGACACUGGAAAAUACUUGAAAAACAUGGACUAAUGAAAACAACUGGAAACAGCGAAUGACAUCGGGAUUCCACACGAGGUUAACGAGGGGGCGUGGCACACGGGAGGAGCGGACAAGCGGCGCAUGACAAUUUGAGUUGCAGGGAUUUGACAAAAACAUCCUUUUAGAAAUGCGUGAGGAAGGUCAAGACUCUGGUCUCCAGCUCACCGCUCUCUGUUAUAUUUCCAUAGCCAUGUUGUCCGAUAGUAACAUUGAAU